GUGAGGAAUUUUCCGCAAUGGGCGAAAGCCUGACGGAGCAAUGCCGCGUGAAGGAUGAAGGCCUAUGGGUUGUAAACUUCUUUUAUUAGAGAAGAAUAUUGACGGUAUCUGAGGAAUAAGCAUCGGCUAACUCUGUGCCAGCAGCCGCGGUAAGACAGAGGAUGCAAGCGUUAUCCGGAAUGAUUGGGCGUAAAGCGUCUGUAGGUGGCUUCAAAAGUCUCCUGUCAAAGAUCAGGGCUUAACCCUGGGCCGGCAGGAGAAACUCUGAGGCUAGAGUUUGGUAGGGGCAGAGGGAAUUCCCGGUGGAGCGGUGAAAUGCGUAGAGAUCGGGAGGAACACCAAAGGCGAAAGCACUCUGCUGGGCCACAACUGACACUGAGAGACGAAAGCGAGGGGAGCAAAAGGGAUUAGAAACCCGUGUAGUCC
rnacentral:rRNA from 1 species